CAGCAGCCGCGGGAAUACGAAGGGUGCAAGCGUUACUCGGAAUUACUGGGCGUAAAGGGCGCGUAGGCGGCACGAUUAGUCAGGCGUGAAAUUCCUGGGCUCAACCUGGGGGCUGCGCUUGAUACGGUCGAGCUAGAGGAUGGAAGAGGGUCGUGGAAUUCCCAGUGUAGAGGUGAAAUUCGUAGAUAUUGGGAAGAACACCGGUGGCGAAGGCGGCGACCUGGUCCAUUACUGACGCUGAGGCGCGACAGCGUGGGGAGCAAACAGGAUUAGAUACCCCCGUAGUCCCUGUCUCUUAUAC
rnacentral:rRNA from 1 species